rnacentral:rRNA from 1 species
GACAGAGGGUGCAAACGUUGUUCGGAAUUACUGGGCGUAAAGCGCGUGUAGGCUGUUCUGAAAGUCGGGUGUGAAAGCCCUGGGCUCAACCUAGGAAGUGCACUCGAAACUUCAGAACUCGAGUCCUGGAGAGGAAGGCGGAAUUCUCGGUGUAGAGGUGAAAUUCGUAGAUAUCGAGAGGAACACCGGUGGCGAAGGCGGCCUCUGGGACCAU